GAUGAACGCUGGCGGCGUGCCUAAUACAUGCAAGUCGAGCGAAUGGACGAGAAGCUUGCUUCUCGGAUGUUAGCGGCGGACGGGUGUGUAACACGUGGAUAAUCUACCUAUAAUACUGGGAUAACUUCGGAAAACCGGCGCUUAUACCGUAUAAUCUUUUGAUCCGCAUUGGUCAAAAGUGAAAGACGGUGUUUCUGUCACGUAUAGAUGGAUCCGCGCUGCAUUAGCUAGUUGGUAAGGUAACGGCUUACCAAGGCAACGAUGCAUAGCCGACGUGAGAGACGGAUCGGCGGCACGGGAAGUGGGACGGGGUCCAGACUACUACGGGACGCAGCAGUAGGGAAUGUUACGCAAUGGGGGGAAGCCUGACGGAGCAACGCGGAGUGAGAGAUGACGGUGUUCGGAGCGUAAAACUCUGUUAUUAGGGAUAAACAUAUGUGUAAGUAACUGUGCACAUCGUGACGGUAACUGAUAAGAAAGCAACGGCUAACUACGUG
rnacentral:rRNA from 1 species